GGUCACAUAAACCCCUUUGUCGGAUAAUUUUUAUGGUUGAUUUUCUGCAAAUUAUCCUACUUAUUAAUGUUCUAAAAUGAAGCAAGGUCUUCAUUCUUGAGAAUUACAUUCAAUUCGAAAUUUAAGUUGUUAAAUCUUCUCCUAUCUCCUAAAUGGUUUUUUCCUAUACACAAAGACUGAAUGGGUUUCAAUAUUGUAUGGUUGUUUUGUAUCAUCAAUAUUGUUCCUUUACAUGGUUAAGCUUUUCCCAUUGAGCACUCUGGGGAAUGUACUAUUGUGACUACUGCGAGAGUGAGACCAGAUGGCUUGGUCUUCACUACAGUUUAUGAUUGCGUCGUCGAGGAGAGGAGCAGGUCUUUCAGAUGCACUGAGUUGAGGCUGCCUUACUCUCUCCUUGAUUCACUCGCAGGUACCAACACCGGAGAGGAGAUGAAGCAUAGAUUUCCCAAUUGAGAUAGGGCACUCUGCAUACUGGCUCACAGCCCCAAAGGCAGUAGAUCAGAAGUAAAGCAUGACUGAUCUUAGUCAUAGAUUUUUACAGAUGCUGGAGGCUUCUCAGAUGACUUAGGAAAGAAGGAAUUUGGCCACUCAAAGUGUUAACCCAGAGAUCAAGAGUUUUUGUGAUUGUGGUAUAAAAAUAUCAUGACAGUCAAUUCUGUGUCUGUUUCAUAUUUUAUUCAAUGGUUUUGGUUCUAUGGCAACUAUUUUUAUAGACUAAUCUUGGGAAAGUUUUGCCAUGUGCCCUUAGGAGACACUAUCAGAUUGAGAAAUUGAGACUGUUUUUUAGGUUCUUCAGUUGUUUUUUCAUAGAUCAAAUUGUGGCUCAGAUUGUAUGUUUUGACUUGAAAUUAAUGAUGCAUUACAGUACAUGGAAAGGAAAAUCACAAAGACACUCUUCACACUAUUGUUGUUUUUGUUUUUAUCAAGAUCUGAUCCAGUUACUCUAUUUUGAGCAGGGCUUUGCAGUAAAAUAAAAUUGCUUCACAAGGAUAGUUUUAUUCAAUGAUUCUAAUGUGGAUGAUCAUGUUGCAGAUCUGUUUUUACCAGCUCAAUUUGUUUCGAACCAUGCUCAAUUUUCAAUCCGUGCUACAAUGUUUCAGGACCUCAGGUUUUAGUAUGUAAAUAUCCACCAUGUUGUUAUUAAUUGUUCCUUGCUUUUUUUUUUUAUGAUGUGUUGAGCCAAUUUUCUGGUGCUGGUGCUGAUAAUGAUGGAACUGCUUCAUCCGGACAUGAUGCUUGCCAUAAUCUUUCUCACGAUGGGUAUAGUCAAAAUACUUUUGCUUGCUUGCCUAUAUAGAGUGAUCUUCUUGGUGAAGAUACGAGUUUUGUUGUGCCUGUUGCUGAAGAUACUUGAGUGACUCCCUCUAAGAUAAUGUCUGAUGACAUUGGAGGAAGUCACUCCACCAAAUGUUGUAUCAGUGGAUAUUGUCCUCGCGCACCAUUUCGUAGUGACUCCACGAAUUGUCAAUCUCUAUCUAAACCAGGAUUAUUAUCAUUGUAUGCCUUCCGAGUUAGAUAAAGGAUCUUUUUGAGAAAAAAAGGUAGUGAGACCUAUUAGGAUGCUCUAUUAUUAUUCCUUCUUGAUCGAUCAAUGUAACGACUUUGUUCCAGUCUUGGAUCUGUUUGAAUGAGUUUGACCCUGCAAAGUUUGUUAUAUUAUUCCCUUAUAUCUCAUUCAUUUAUGUGUGGUUUA